rnacentral:rRNA from 1 species
UACGUAGGGUGCGAGCGUUGUCCGGAAUUAUUGGGCGUAAAGAGCUCGUAGGCGGUGUGUCGCGUCGGCCGUGAAAACCUGCAGCUUAACUGUGGGCGUGCGGUCGAUACGGGCAUCACUGGAGUUCGGCAGGGGAGACUGGAAUUCCUGGUGUAGCGGUGAAAUGCGCAGAUAUCAGGAGGAACACCGGUGGCGAAGGCGGGUCUCUGGGCCGUAACCGACGCUGAGGAGCGAAAGCGUGGGGAGCGAACAGG